UAAACUAGGAUUAGAUACCCUAUUAUUUUUAAUGUAAAUUUUUCCUAGGUAGUAAUAGUUUUGUUCUUUAAACCUAAAGAAUUUGGCGGUGUUUUAUUCUAUUCAGAGGAAUUUGCCCCUUUAUCGAUAACCCUCGUUUUAUCUUGCUUUGAUUAUUUAGUAUGUAUACCGCCGUUAUAAGUUUAUUUUUUUAGAAUAUUUACUUUUUAUUAUAUUAUUUGUUAUUUCAG
rnacentral:rRNA from 1 species